CAAUAGCGUAUAUUAAAGUUGUUGCAGUUAAAAAGCUCGUAGUUGGACCUUGGACCUGGACAGGCGGUCCGCCUCACGGCGUGUACUGUCUUGCUGGGUCUUUCCUCUUGGUGAUCUGUUGUUUCGGCAGCAGGGAACCAGGACUUUUACUUUGAAAAAAUUAGAGUGUUCAAAGCAGGCUCGACGCCGGAAUAUAUUAGCAUGGAAUAAUAAAAUAGGACGUGCGGUUCUAUUUUGUUGGUUUUUGGAAUCGCCGUAAUGAUUAAUAGGGACAGUCGGGGGCAUUAGUACUCACAUGCUAGGGGUGAAAUUCUUGGAUUUUGUGAAGACUAACUUCUGCGAAAGCAUUUGCCAAGGAUGUUUUCAUUAA
rnacentral:rRNA from 1 species